UACGUAGGGGGCGAGCGUUGUCCGGAUUUAUUGGGCGUAAAGAGCUCGUAGGCGGUUUGGUAAGUCGGGUGUGAAAUCUCCACGCUCAACGUGGAGGGGCCACUCGAUACUGCCAUGACUCGAGUCCGGUAGAGGAGUGUGGAAUUCCCGGUGUAGCGGUGAAAUGCGCAGAUAUCAGGAGGAACACCGAUGGCGAAGGCAGGUCUCUGGGCCACUACUGACGCUGAGAAGCGAAAGCAUGGGGAGCGAACAGG
rnacentral:rRNA from 1 species